rnacentral:rRNA from 1 species
GUAUGGGACCUUCGGGCCAUAUGCUGUCGGAUGCACCUAUAUGGGAUUAGCUAGUUGGUGGGGUAACGGCUCACCAAGGCGACGAUCCCUAGCUGGUUUGAGAGGAUGAUCAGCCACACUGGAACUGAGACACGGUCCAGACUCCUACGGGAGGCAGCAGUGGGGAAUAUUGGACAAUGGGCGCAAGCCUGAUCCAGCCAUGCCGCGUGUGUGAAGAAGGCCUUCGGGUUGUAAAGCACUUUCAGCGAGGAGGAAGGGGUGUGUGUUAAUAGCACACAUCUU